GACGAACGCUGGCGGCGUGCUUAACACAUGCAAGUCGAGCGGAAAGGCCCUUCGGGGUACUCGAGCGGCGAACGGGUGAGUAACACGUGAGUAACCUGCCCCAGACUUUGGGAUAACCCUCGGAAACGGGGGCUAAUACCGGAUACGACACAGCUUCGCAUGGGGUCUGUGUGGAAAGUUUUUCGGUUUUUGAUGGGCUCGCGGCCUAUCAGCUUGUUGGUGGGGUGAUGGCCUACCAAGGCGCCGACGGGUAGCCGGCCUGAGAGGGCGACCGGCCACACUGGGACUGAGACACGGACCAGUCGCGUACGGGAGGCAGCAGUGGGAAAUAUUGCACAAUGGGAGGAAGCCUGAUGCAGAGACGCCGCGUUAGGGAUGACGGCCUUCGGGUUGUAAACAUCUUUCAGCAGGGACGAAGCGUAAGUGACGGUACCUGCAGAAGAAGCGCCGGCUAACUACGUG
rnacentral:rRNA from 1 species